UACGUAGGUGGCAAGCGUUGUCCGGAAUAACUGGGCGUAAAGCGCAUGUAGACGGCAUGAUAAGCCAAAAUGGUGAAAAUGUAGGGGCUCAACCCCUGCACUGCGAUUGGAACUGUCAAGGCUUGAGUGCAGGAGAGGCAAAUAGGAAUUCCCAGUGUAGCAGUGAAAUGCGUAGAGAUUGGGAGGAACACCAGUGGCGAAGGCGAUUUGCUGGACUGCAAACUGACGUUGAGAUGCGAAAGCUAGGGGA
rnacentral:rRNA from 1 species